CACCGCGGUUAUACGAGAGGUCCAAGCUGACAGCCCCUCGGCGUAAGGCGUGGUUAGAAUUAAAACAUACUAAAGCCGAAUGCUCUCUAAGCUGUUAUACGCUCUCGAGAGUUAGAAGCCCUACUACGAAGGUAGCUUUAUAUAAUUGAACCCACGAAAGCUAAGACA
rnacentral:rRNA from 1 species